UACGAAGGGGGCUAGCGUUGCUCGGAAUCACUGGGCGUAAAGGGUGCGUAGGCGGGUCUUUAAGUCAGGGGUGAAAUCCUGGAGCUCAACUCCAGAACUGCCUUUGAUACUGAAGAUCUUGAGUUCGGGAGAGGUGAGUGGAACUGCGAGUGUGGAGGUGAAAUUCGUAGAUAUUCGCAAGAACACCAGUGGCGAAGGCGGCUCACUGGCCCGAUACUGACGCUGAGGCACGAAAGCCAGGGGAGCGAACGGG
rnacentral:rRNA from 1 species